UACGUAGGUGGCGAGCGUUGUCCGGAUUUACUGGGCGUAAAGGGAGCGUAGGCGGACUUUUAAGUGAGAUGUGAAAUAACCGGGCUCAACUUGGGUGCUGAAUUUCAAACUGGAAGUCUAGAGUGCAGGAGAGGAGAAUGGAAUUCCUAGUGUAGCGGUGAAAUGCGUAGAGAUUAGGAAGAACACCAGUGGCGAAGGCGAUUCUCUGGACUGUAACUGACGCUGAGGCUCGAAAGCGUGGGGAGCAAACAGGAUUAGAUACCCGCGUAGU
rnacentral:rRNA from 1 species